UGAGAAUUUGUUCUUGGGUUCCCUUCACUCGUUUAAUAGGCUCCUGGUCUAUCAGUACAUCUGGUAUGGGUCUACGCAAGACUCACUGGUCUCUAACACAACAUCUCAAGCCUACACCUCACCUUAACCAUUCGCAUUUUUCUACCCUCAGAACCACAUUCACGUCAAACACAGAUUUGCAAUGACGCAUACAGGUGCUUUCGCGAGGCCAAUGUCAAUAACCCAAAAGAGACAGUUGUUUCUAUAGCCACUGCUGAGGAUCGAUUCACCCAUGAGAAACUCAGUGUCUGAGACUCAACACAUCGCAGCCCAGACUGACCAGUAUAAGAAAAAUACAUUUCAAAGAAUUCUCUGUACGCCCAAGGGCACCCAAGGACUUUUUUUUUUUUUUUUUUUUUUUUUUUUGUGGAAACACUUUGACUCAGCAUUAAUUGACUCCAUAGAUUGUGAAGUUCACCAUGAAUGGCUUCACUUUUGUCCCGCUGCUGCUGUUCUACAAUCCCAAACAUGUGUGACAGAAGCGUGCCAUGUGAUUGCAGGCCUCUCCCAGUCCUCACGCAGACAGCUGCUGUCCUGAUGACAGUGCACAUACAGACCCCUCUGAGCCAUUUAAACUUUAAAGAUCCUCCAGAGGAGGUUGUGAGUGUAUGAGAGUCGCCCCUUCAGUCUUUCUUUCGGUCGCUUCAAGACCUGGCGGUUUGAAACAAGCAGACAGUCUCUUAAGUCCUUCCAAGUUUUCCAGAAAUCCUGAGGGCUUAUAUUUGAGUCACAAUGGGAGCGUUUAUCGCCAAGAUGUUGCUGCCCACCAUCAGCAGUUUGGUGUUCCUGCCUGCAGCCAGUGUUGCCACCAAGAGGGGUUUCCACAUGGAGGCCAUGGUCUAUUUCUUCACAAUGUUCUUUGUAGCGAUUUACCAUGCAUGUGAUGGUCCAGGCUUGUCCAUUCUCUGUUUCAUGAAGUAUGAGAUCCUGGAGUACUUCAGCGUGUAUGGCACAGCUAUCUCCAUGUGGGUCACGCUACUAGCACUGGGAGAUUUUGAUGAACCCAAGAGGUCUUCGCUCACCAUGUUUGGGGUGUUAACAUCAGCUGUGAGAAUCUACCAGGACCGCUUAGGCUACGGCAUCUACUCCGGCCCCAUUGGAACAGCUGUCUUUAUGAUAACAGUCAAAUGGUUACAAAAAAUGAAGGAAAAAAAAGGCCUUUAUCCAGACAAAAGUGUUUACACUCAACAAGUGGGGCCAGGGUUCUGCUUCGGUGCUCUUGCUUUGAUGCUUCGCUUCUAUUUCGAGGAGUGGGACUACGCUUAUGUCCACAGUUUCUACCAUGUGUCACUGGCUGUGUCCUUCAUUCUGCUGCUCCCCAAGAAGAACCGUUAUGCCGGGACGGGACGUAACGCAGCCAAACUCAAAUGCUACACCCUCUGUUGCUGUGUAUGAUGCAUCUUUUUAUCUGAGCGAAGCUGUAGAGGUGAUCCUCACCCUGAAAGCCACUUUAAGAUGACAAACAGUCUCAUACCUCAGAUGAAGGAAAAAGCACGGACUAUCUGGACUACUCCUCAAAAACCCUGGAUGCGGACCUGUGGUCCUGGCCUGCCAUUAAACAAAUCCCAGCCACGCACCAUGUAAUGCAAGAAACUGUGUCUGUUAACAGCACUCUGAAAGUGACAACAGUUAUACGACCUCCCAGCAGGCCAAAAAUGCCUUGGACAACUUAUUUGCAAGGAUAGCAUAAUGCCCGAUUGACGUCAAAAUCACUAAAAAGGUAGUGAAACAUGCAUUUAAAGACACAUGGCAAGAUAAGGAUUGUGACAGCGAAGAAUCUCUGUCACAGGAGAGUUCAUCUGAAAAGAAAAGAGAAAUAACCAAGACUGGAUUUGACUCAUCAAACCCAGCUGGAAAGUUUAUGAGUCACAAAAAAACAGCAGACGCAUUAUCUAUCCAAAAUGAAUAAACUGUCUUUCAAAGGUUCCUCAGUAGGGACCACUUGUCUAUGUCCGUUUAAGAGACGGUAAAAGAGGCCAUUUAAUUCUUUAUAUUCGUCUGUUUGUGCCAGACAGGUCAGACAUCAUCUGGGUACAACUAAACUCUACACUAAACCUAUAAAGAAGCAAACAAACAGUUCGUUAUAGCUGAGGAUUGAGGGAGGAUACAUUUUUUAGUUUUUAUGUAAAUAAAUAUAUUUAUUUAUUACACUGUUUAGUUUUAUGUAUCAGUUGUCGUUUUUCAUUUUGAAAUAAAAUAGUUUUUCAGG